rnacentral:rRNA from 1 species
ACUUGAUUGGUUAAGGCUCCCAGUAGACGACUGGGUUGAUAGGCCAGAUGUGGAAGCCCGGUAACGGGUGGAGCUGACUGGUACUAAUAGGCCGAGGGCUUGUCCUC